UUGAUGAAAGGGUUGUUGCCAUCGAUGGACACCACGUACUGCUCCAGCACUGCUCCAUACGCCACUGUCAGCAGGAGAGAAGACAAAUGAGAGGCAGGUUUUACAGAAGAAACAAAAACAUGCUACACUGGAGACGAAAACCCAACUGAUGGAGGCCACUUCACAGUCAUACAUCACAAAUAAACGAGAACCAUAGCAAAAAUAUUUAACGAUGCUGGAAUCUAUGACUUUAUUGGAAACCACGUGAAGGCAGCAUUCAGUCCUGCUCUGGAAAAUAAGCGCAGACAGGCUCUUAAUUUGUUAAACUGUGAGUCAGCUGGGAGCCUUUAUUGCGUUUCAUCCAUACAACGGUUUCCUUUUUCAAAGCUUGAUUCGUAAACCACACAUAGCUCAGGCUUUAUGGCUGCUUGAUUAAAUGAUACUUCACAGAUAUAUAGUAAUUUAUUGGGGCCUACACUCAGCGUACAAACACUCUUCUGAUACUUCGAAAGCCAGAAAGCACAAAAAUGUGAACAUUCACAACAGAACCAGUUUAACUUUUGUGGCCAAGGCAUCCAUGUUCAGUCUCUGUGGUCAGAAGACUGUUGACUCACUCAUUCUUGAGGUCUCCAGCAGUCUGCACGGCUAAAACAGAAAACAUACUCUCAGCCCGUUUUCAUCGGGAACUGUAGCUGAAACACUGUAAAUAAAGAUUUCUGGUUGUCUGACCUAUUCUUAGAAUUUA